rnacentral:tRNA from 1 species
GCCCGGGUGGCUCAGUCGGUUAAGCAUCUGACUUCGGCUCAGGUCAUGAUCUCACGUUCCGUGGGUUCGAGCCCCGUGUUGGGCU